rnacentral:rRNA from 1 species
GACGAACGCUGGCGGCGUGCCUAAUACAUGCAAGUAGAACGCACAGUUUAUACCGUAGCUUGCUACACCAUAGACUGUGAGUUGCGAACGGGUGAGUAACGCGUAGGUAACCUGCCUGGUAGCGCGGGAUAACUAUUGGAAACGAUAGCUAAUACCGCAUAAUAUUGAUUAUUGCAUGAUAAUUAAUUGAAAGGUGCAAUUGCACCACUACCAGAUGGACCUGCGUUGUAUUAGCUAGUAGGUGAGGUAACGGCUCACCUAGGCGACGAUACAUAGCCGACCUGAGAGGGUGAUCGGCCACACUGGGACUGAGACACGGCCCAGACUCCUACGGGAGGCAGCAGUAGGGAAUCUUCGGCAAUGGACGAAAGUCUGACCGAGCAACGCCGCGUGAGUGAAGAAGGUUUUCGGAUCGUAAAGCUCUGUUGUAAGAGAAGAACGGGUGUGAGAGUGGAAAGUUCACACUGUGACGGUAUCUUACCAGAAAGGGACGGCUAACUACGUG